CUAUGUAUUGCAAAAUACGCCCGAAAUUGUGCCUUAUAUUGAACAACACAUGACCUUUUUGAAAAACCGACAUGGUGGUAAACCACAAGCGUGGCUGGAGAAAGAGCAUAACACAACGUUUGGUCACUGGUUACGUAACAAGGUUGAAAAAGAGUUAGCGGUUUCCAC